rnacentral:misc_RNA from 1 species
CAGGGUCUAACGACUACCCAAACCCAACCGUGAAUUACUCCCAAAACAUAUGCUUCGGCGGGCCGCUCGCUGGGGGAGCCGCUCGGCCGUUUCGACGGUGGCUCGCCGGAAGCAUGAAACCACAACUCUCUGAAUCUUCUCUGAGAAAUUCUUUUUCUUCUAAGAAAACGUCA